rnacentral:rRNA from 2 species
AGUGAUUGGCGAACUGGUGAGUAACACGUGGGAAACCUGCCCAGAAGCGGGGGAUAACACCUGGAAACAGAUGCUAAUACCGCAUAACAACUUGGACCGCAUGGUCCGAGCUUGAAAGAUGGCUUCGGCUAUCACUUUUGGAUGGUCCCGCGGCGUAUUAGCUAGAUGGUGGGGUAACGGCUCACCAUGGCAAUGAUACGUAGCCGACCUGAGAGGGUAAUCGGCCACAUUGGGACUGAGACACGGCCCAAACUCCUACGGGAGGCAGCAGUAGGGAAUCUUCCACAAUGGACGAAAGUCUGAUGGAGCAACGCCGCGUGAGUGAAGAAGGGUUUCGGCUCGUAAAACUCUGUUGUUAAAGAAGAACAUAUCUGAGAGUAACUGUUCAGGUAUUGACGGUAUUUAACCAGAAAGCCACGGCUAACUACGUGCCAGCAGCCGCGGUAAUACGUAGGUGGCAAGCGUUGUCCGGAUUUAUUGGGCGUAAAGCGAGCGCAGGCGGUUUUUUAAGUCUGAUGUGAAAGCCUUCGGCUCAACCGAAGAAGUGCAUCGGAAACUGGGAAACUUGAGUGCAGAAGAGGACAGUGGAACUCCAUGUGUAGCGGUGAAAUGCGUAGAUAUAUGGAAGAACACCAGUGGCGAAGGCGGCUGUCUGGUCUGUAACUGACGCUGAGGCUCGAAAGUAUGGGUAGCAAACAGGAUUAGAUACCCUGGUAGUCCAUACCGUAAACGAUGAAUGCUAAGUGUUGGAGGGUUUCCGCCCUUCAGUGCUGCAGCUAACGCAUUAAGCAUUCCGCCUGGGGAGUACCGCCGCAAGGCUGAAACUCAAAGGAAUUGACGGGGCCCGCACAAGCGGUGGAGCAUGUGGUUUAAUUCUAAGCUACGCGAAGAACCUUACCAGUCUUGACAUACUAUGCA